AGUGGCGCAGUGGUUAGCGAAUAUGACUAGGAACCAUGAGGUUGCAGGUUCGAUCCCUGGCCU
rfam:Sus scrofa isolate TJ Tabasco breed Duroc chromosome 1, whole genome shotgun sequence.